rnacentral:rRNA from 1 species
GAAGGCCUUCGGGUUGUAAGCCUUUUGUUGGAAAGAAAUCCAGCUGGCUAAUACCCGGUUGGGAUGACGGUACCCAAAGAAUAAGCACCGGCUAACUUCGUGCCAGCAGCCGCGGUAAUACGAGGGGUGCAAGCGUUACUCGGAAUUACUGGGCGUAAAGCGUGCGUAGGUGGUCGUUUAAGUCCGUUGUGAAAGCCCUGGGCUCAACCUGGGAACUGCAGUGGAUACUGGGCGACUAGAAUGUGGUAGAGGGUAGCGGAAUUCCUGGUGUAGCAGUGAAAUGCGUAGAGAUCAGGAGGAACAUCCAUGGCGAAGGCAGCUACCUGGACCAACAUUGACACUGAGGCACGAAAGCGUGGGGAGCAAACAGGAUUAGAUACCCUGGUAGUCCACGCCCUAAACGAUGCGAACUGGAUGUUGGGUGCAAUUUGGCACGCAGUAUCGAAGCUAACGCGUUAAGUUCGCCGCU